GCGGCAUGCUUUACACAUGCAAGUCGAACGGCAGCGCGGGGCAACCUGGCGGCGAGUGGCGAACGGGUGAGUAAUAUAUCGGAACGUACCCAAGAGUGGGGGAUAACGUAGCGAAAGUUACGCUAAUACCGCAUACGAUCUAUGGAUGAAAGUGGGGGAUCGCAAGACCUCAUGCUCCUGGAGCGGCCGAUAUCUGAUUAGCUAGUUGGUGAGGUAAAGGCUCACCAAGGCGACGAUCAGUAGCUGGUCUGAGAGGACGACCAGCCACACUGGAACUGAGACACGGUCCAGACUCCUACGGGAGGCAGCAGUGGGGAAUUUUGGACAAUGGGCGCAAGCCUGAUCCAGCAAUGCCGCGUGAGUGAAGAAGGCCUUCGGGUUGUAAAGCUCUUUUGUCAGGGAAGAAACGGUGGGAGCUAAUAUCUCUUGCUAAUGACGGUACCUGAAGAAUAAGCACCGGCUAACUACGUGCCAGCAGCCGCGGUAAUACGUAGGGUGCAAGCGUUAAUCGGAAUUACUGGGCGUAAAGCGUGCGCAGGCGGUUUUGUAAGUCUGUCGUGAAAGCCCCGGGCUCAACCUGGGAAUUGCGAUGGAGACUGCAAGGCUUGAAUCUGGCAGAGGGGGGUAGAAUUCCACGUGUAGCAGUGAAAUGCGUAGAGAUGUGGAGGAACACCGAUGGCGAAGGCAGCCCCCUGGGUCAAGAUUGACGCUCAUGCACGAAAGCGUGGGGAGCAAACAGGAUUAGAUACCCUGGUAGUCCACGCCCUAAACGAUGUCUACUAGUUGUCGGGGUUUUAAUUAACUUGGUAACGCAGCUAACGCGUGAAGUAGACCGCCUGGGGAGUACGGUCGCAAGAUUAAAACUC
rnacentral:rRNA from 1 species